rnacentral:rRNA from 1 species
GACGUAGGGCGCAAGCGUUGUCCAGAUUUAUUGGGCGUAAAGAGCUCGUAGGCGGCUUGUUGCGUCGUCCGUGAAAACCCGCAGCUCAACUGCGGGCUUGCGGACGAUACGGGCAGGCUAGAGUUCGGUAGGGGAGACUGGAAUUCCUGGUGUAGCGGUGAAAUGCGCAGAUAUCAGGAGGAACACCGAUGGCGAAGGCAGGUCUCUGGGCCAUAACUGACGCUGAGAAGCGAAAGCAUGGGGAGCGAACAGG